rnacentral:rRNA from 1 species
AUGUUUACCAAAAACAUGGCUUCGUGUUAAUAUUAAGAUACGAAGUCGGACCUGCCCAGUGAAUUUUAAACGGCCGCGGUACUCUGACCGUGCAAAGGUAGCAUAAUCAUUUGCCUUAUAAUUGAAGGCUGGAAUGAAUGGUUUGACAAGAAUAUACCUGUCUCUUUUAAAUUAUUUAGAAUUUUAUUUUUGGAUGAAAAAGUUCAGAUUGUAUUAAAAGACAAGAAGACCCUAUCGAGCUUUAGGAAAAUUAAUAGAUCUAACAUAAAUCAAUAUAAGUAAAAGAAAAACUAUUAAAUACUUUGGUUGGGGCAACCGAGGAGCACUUGAAGCCUCCUUUAGUUAAAAAAUCUGACUUGUGUUGAUCCAAAAUUUUUGAUUAAAGGAAUUAGUUACCGUAGGGAUAACAGCAUUAUCUUUUUUAAGAGCCCAUAUCGAAAAAAAGGUUKGUGACCUCGAUGUUGGACCAGAAUAUCCUAAAGAUGCAGAAGUCUUUGAGGGUUGGUCUGUUCGACCAUUAAAAUUCUACGUGAUCUGAGUUCAGACCGGA